AUUGAACGCUGGCGGCAGGCCUAACACAUGCAAGUCGAACGGUAGCACAGAGGAGCUUGCUCCUCGGGUGACGAGUGGCGGACGGGUGAGUAAUGUCUGGGGAUCUGCCCGAUAGAGGGGGAUAACCACUGGAAACGGUGGCUAAUGCCGCAUAACGUCGCAAGACCAAAGAGGGGGACCUUCGGGCCUCUCACUAUCGGAUGAACCCAGAUGGGAUUAGCUAGUAGGCGGGGUAACGGCCCACCUAGGCGACGAUCCCUAGCUGGUCUGAGAGGAUGACCAGCCACACUGGAACUGAGACACGGUCCAGACUCCUACGGGAGGCAGCAGUGGGGAAUAUUGCACAAUGGGCGCAAGCCUGAUGCAGCCAUGCCGCGUGUAUGAAGAAGGCCUUCGGGUUGUAAAGUACUUUCAGCGGGGAGGAAGGCGAUGUGGUUAAUAACCGCGUCGAUUGACGUUACCCGCAGAAGAAGCACCGGCUAACUCCGUGCCAGCCGCCGCCGUAA
rnacentral:rRNA from 1 species